rnacentral:rRNA from 1 species
CAGUAGCCGCGGGAAUACGGAGGGAGCUAGCGUUGUUCGGAAUUACUGGGCGUAAAGCGCGCGUAGGCGGUUACUCAAGUCAGAGGUGAAAGCCCGGGGCUCAACCCCGGAACUGCCUUUGAAACUAGGUGACUAGAAUCUUGGAGAGGUCAGUGAAAUUCCGAGUGUAGAGGUGAAAUUCGUAGAUAUUCGGAAGAACACCAGUGGCGAAGGCGACUGACUGGACAAGUAUUGACGCUGAGGUGCGAAAGCGUGGGGAGCAAACAGGAUUAGAUACCCCCGUAGUCCCUGUCUCUUAUAC